rnacentral:rRNA from 1 species
UACGAAGGGGGCUAGCGUUGUUCGGAAUUACUGGGCGUAAAGCGCACGCAGGCGGAUUGAUUAGUCAGGGGUGAAAUCCCGGGGCUCAACCUCGGAAUUGCCUUUGAUACUGUCAGUCUUGAGUCCGGGAGAGGUGAGUGGAAUUCCUAGUGUAGAGGUGAAAUUCGUAGAUAUUAGGAAGAACACCAGUGGCGAAGGCGGCUCACUGGCCCGGUACUGACGCUCAUGUGCGAAAGCGUGGGGAGCAAACAGG